rnacentral:rRNA from 1 species
UGAGGAAUAUUGGUCAAUGGACGGAAGUCUGAACCAGCCAAGUAGCGUGCAGGAAGACGGCCCUAUGGGUUGUAAACUGCUUUUGUAUGGGGAUAAAGUCAAUCACGUGUGAUUGUUUGCAGGUACCAUACGAAUAAGGACCGGCUAAUUCCGUG